rnacentral:lncRNA from 1 species
CUUGGAAUGACUUUAGGAGCAAAUGCAAGAGGCUUGCGAGAUUCACUCUGUUUGCAAGUUUGAAGAACAAUAUCUUCAUGAAUAUGUUUGUUGAAGCAUUCCUGACAGGAGNNNNNNNNNNNNNNNNNNNNNNNNNNNNNNNNNNNNNNNAAACACUCACAAUAACUGAAAGGAAAAAAAUAAUGUUAAGGUGCUUGGCCAAAGUCAUUUGAACAUAGAUAAAGCAUAGCUUAUUUGGUUUUCAAGGUUUUGAUCCAAGAGAUAAUGAAAAACAUAGCUUUGGUUUUUGAGGUUUUAAUCCAAGAGAGUAAGACCCAGAUUGAAGGAUGUUUAUCCCAAAAAAUCACAUAUGAAAACUUGAAAUUUUAUAUUAGUUGAUAAUUUGAAAUUUGAAAUUAAAUUAAAAGUAGUUGCUAUCAAUAUGGGUAACUUGAGAACAAAUAGGAACUGAUGUUCUCCAAUAAUCCAAACUGAUUUACCAAAACAAACAAAAAAAAAGUAGUCAGUUGAUCCAAACUAUUCAAAAUAACAUCUCACAAUUAAAUAAAAGUGUGUUCAAUACAAACUGAUCCAACAGAUAAACAGAUAAGCAUUAAAUUUUCUAAUUUGUGAUCAAUANNNNNAACAAUAACAAUAGUUAUUGGUGGAGAAAGAGAACAAUAAAUGAGGAAAAAAAAAAACAGAAAUUAUUAGAAAAUAAAAGCAAGAAAGUGAAAAAUAUUUUGGAUCUCUCUCACCUGAUUGUGUCAUGCGAGAAUGCGGUUUCAUCGUUCAGGUUUCAUGAAUGAAUAUUUUGCCUCUAAUUAGAGAAUAAAAAAAAAGCAGGAAACAAAUAGAAGAUUAGAAUUGUGAUCUAAGAAAAUUAGGGAUUUGGAAAAUGAACGAAACUGAAAUUACCUGCGGGAUGGGUCUUGAAACAGGUCCGAGGAUUCGAUUGAGAGGAUUCGAUUGAGAAGAGAACCUAAUUUGCAAACAUAGACGGAAAAUUAAACAUUUCACAUAAAUAAGAUGAUGAACUUAAAUCAUGAAAUAACAUAUGGAGAAACAAUUUGCAACCUUUGGAGAGAAGGAAUCAGGAAAAAAUGGAGUGAGAUGAAUAAGAAAGUGGGUUAGAGGGAGAAAUUGAAUUUUGAAUUUUGAAAUCAGUCAACAAAACAAAAAACAACAGAGUAGUGCUGCAAUAUUUUGCUUUGAGAGAGACAGAUGAAAGUGACGCUACAUCUUUUCUGCCAAAGCUUGUGAAAUUUGAAAGUUUUGGUCNNNNNAUUGUAUUUGAGAAAAUCAUCUAAAUCCCACUAACAACUCCUAAAAGGUAGCGAUUAUUAUUAACUAAAACACAUAGAAACAAAUCCUAAUAAAUAUGACAACUAAGCAACAAUAAUUUCAAAAAAAAAAAUAGAGAGAGAGGAUUAUAAAAUCAGAUAUAAGAAACACAAUUGAAGAAAAAUAGAGAAUUCAAAUAAAAAAAGACAUACCUUUUUCUUCAAAUUCAUGAACAAACAAUCUCUGAUAAUUGAUUUCUGAAACACUAUAUUCCAUUUUUUGAUAAUCAAAACAAACCCAAGUUUUGAUAAAAUUGAAUUCUGAAACGAAAAUCAAAACGAAAACUUACUCAAAUCCCAAACAUCAACUAAAUACUACUCAAAUACAAUCAAAUAAAGUUUAGAAAACUUACACAAUCAAACCGUAAUUUUGUGAACCUAAACAAACAAUAAAAUUCGCAAAAAAGAAAUCACAAUAUGAAAUGAAAUCAUGAAAUAAGGAAGGGAUUUCAAUUAUAUCUUCAUGGGUUUCACAUACCUUGCUUUUUGAGAAGCUCUUUGAACAUUCCUUUAUGAGAAUACCUGCAUGUCAAUUGACCAAAGA